rnacentral:rRNA from 1 species
GACGAACGCUGGCGGCGCGCCUAACACAUGCAAGUCGAACGAGCGAGAGAGAGCUUGCUUUCUCGAGCAAGUGGCGAACGGGUGAGUAACGCGUGAGGAACCUGCCUCAAAGAGGGGGACAACAGUUGGAAACGACUGCUAAUACCGCAUAAGCCCACGGGUCGGCAUCGACCAGAGGGAAAAGGAGCAAUCCGCUUUGAGAUGGCCUCGCGUCCGAUUAGCUAGUUGGUGAGGUAAUGGCCCACCAAGGCGACGAUCGGUAGCCGGACUGAGAGGUUGAACGGCCACAUUGGGACUGAGACACGGCCCAGACUCCUACGGGAGGCAGCAGUGGGGAAUAUUGCACAAUGGGGGAAACCCUGAUGCAGCGACGCCGCGUGGAGGAAGAAGGUCUUCGGAUUGUAAACUCCUGUUGUUGGGGAAGAUAAUGACGGUACCCAACAAGGAAGUGACGGCUA